rnacentral:rRNA from 1 species
UAAUACGUAGGGUCCGAGCGUUGUCCGGAGUUACUGGGCGUAAAGCGCGCGCAGGCGGUCCCGCGCGCCCGGCGUGAAAGCCCCCGGCUCAACCGGGGAGGGUCGUCGGGGACGGCGGGACUUGAGGGCGGUAGGGGCCGGUGGAAUCCCUGGUGUAGUGGUGAAAUGCGUAGAGAUCAGGGGGAACACCCGUGGCGAAGGCGGCCGGCUGGGCCGACCCUGACGCUGAGGCGCGAAGGCGUGGGGAGCGAACGGGAUUAGAUACCCCGGUAGUCCACGCAGUAAACGAUGCAGACUGGGCGUGGCGGGCCUUGACCCCCGCCGUGCCGGAGCCAACGCGGGAAGUCUGCCGCCUGGGGAGUACGGCCGCAAGGCUA